UCAGUUUUAUGUAUAUAUACUAUAUAUAUAAUUUUUCAGAUUCUUUUUCAUUAUAGACUAGUACAAGAUACUGAAUAUAGUUCCCUGUGCUAUACAAUAGGUCCUUGUUUAUCUAUCUCAUAUGUAAUAGUUUGUACCCACUAAUUCCAAAAUGUCAAUUUACCACCCGCUUUCUGUCUUGGUAAUCAUAAGUUUUGUUUUUUUUUAAAAUGUCUAUGAGUCUAUCUCUGUUUUGUAAAUAAGUUCACUUGUAUCAUUUUCUUAGAUCUCACAUAUAAGUGAUAUCAUACGCUGUUUGUCUUCCUCUGUCUGACUUACUUCAUUUAGUAUAAUCAUCUCUAGGUCCAUCCAUGUUACUGCACAUGGCAAUAUUUCACUUCUUUUAUAUGGCUGAGUAAUAUUCCAGAGUAAAAAGUGAAUACUAAAAAGUUUCUUUUUAAAAACUCCCUGCAUUAUUUGUGUUAUCCUCCUCUGGCCACAGGCUGGGGAAAACCAGGACCCAGAUGAACAUUUGGGUGUACAGCAUGGAAGUCCACACUCAUCAGUGUUUCAGCCUUGCCCAAGUUCCUUCACCUUUCCCAGCCUCAGUUUCCUCUUCAGUGAAACAGAGGUAAUGAUAGGACUUCCCUCACAGGGACAAUGCGGGGACUGAAUGGCAUACCAUACGCAGAGGGUGGCAUGGUGGAGGACCCCAGAGCAGCCCUCAGCUCUGUCCUAGGAGAAAUCUUGAGUUGCCUUCCCCCGUGAAUGUGUGAAGAGCAUCCACAGACACGGGGCAGGUCCACUCUCAAGAGUCCAGCCAGGAGACCAGACCCACGUAGAGCCUCACAGGGAGAUGUGGUGAUGCUCACAGGCUGAGAUUUCUUUCCUCCCAACUCUUCUCCAAUCCACAACUGUUCUCUGGAUCUUGCAGCCCGAUUCGCUCAGCCACGGGCCCCUUCAUCUCAUAUAACAGCCUCCUUGCUCUCUUUACAUUGGUUGGUUGGUCUGUGUGAAUUUAAGUUUAUCCUCUGCCUGGUGCAAUUAAGUGUGAAAAGCCUUGAUCCUUGCCUUGGGCGAGGGGAGGUGGGGAUAUUUGUGUGGUCUGGGCACUGAGCUGGGGUUCAAUCUUGAAGUGACUCUGACAGCCAAUGCGGCGGUCCCUGACCUCAUGGCUGGGUUUCUGAGCAACUUGUGGAGGGGCUGAAGGCAUGAGGGAGGGUCGCAGAAGGAGGAGAGUGAGCAGGCAAGGCUGGAGGAUACUGGUGGAUUUGAUAACUUGGUGGAAGAGCCUGAAAGCAUGGUCCCUGAAUUAGUCAGAGGGCCCUGUUUAGAAACUGUUGCAAGAAAGAACUCUGCUCAUUGAUUUGUUAAACCUUGCUAUAUAUAUGAU
rnacentral:lncRNA from 1 species